rnacentral:snoRNA from 1 species
GCUAAUUGUAUGAUGAGAAACCUUUUAUCAAUAUACAGUUAUCCCUGUCUGAAUGACAAAUAUGUCGAGAUUUAUUAUACUCUGAUCAACUAGC